rnacentral:misc_RNA from 1 species
UACGGAGGGUGCAAGCGUUGCUCGGAAUUACUGGGCGUAAAGCGUACGCAGGCGGCUCGUUAAGUUGGAUGUGAAAGCCCGGGGCUCAACCCCGGAAUUGCAUUCAAAACUGGCGGGCUUGAGUACGGGAGAGGGAAGCGGAAUUCCUGGUGUAGAGGUGAAAUUCGUAGAUAUCAGGAGGAACACCAGUGGCGAAAGCGGCUUCCUGGCCCGAUACUGACGCUCUUGUACGAAAGCGUGGGGAGCAAACAGG